rnacentral:rRNA from 1 species
GAUGAACGCUAGCGACAGGCUUAACACAUGCAAGUCGAGGGGCAGCGGGGUUGAAAGCUUGCUUUCAACUGCCGGCGACCGGCGCACGGGUGAGUAACACGUAUGCAACCUGCCCAUAGCAGGGGGAUAAGCGGGAGAAAUUCCGUCUAAUACCGCGUAACAUUGGAGGAAGGCAUCUUCCAUCAAUCAAAGAUUUAUCGGCUAUGGAUGGGGCAUGCGGCGCAUUAGCUAGUUGGCGGGGUAACGCCCACCAAGGCGACGA